rnacentral:rRNA from 1 species
GCUAGUUGGUGGAGUAAUAGCCUACCAAGGCAAUGAUCUAUAGCUGAUCUGAGAGGAUGAUCAGCCACACUGGAACUGAGAUACGGUCCAGACUCCUACGGGAGGCAGCAGUGGGGAAUAUUGGACAAUGGGCGAAAGCCUGAUCCAGCCAUGCCGCAUGAGUGAAGAAGGCCUUUGGGUUGUAAAGCUCUUUUAGUGAGGAAGAUAAUGACGGUACUCACAGAAGAAGUCCUGGCUAACUCCGUGCCAGCAGCCGCGGUAAUACGGAGAGGGCUAGCGUUAUUCGGAAUUAUUGGGCGUAAAGGGCGCGUAGGCUGAUUAAUAAGUUAAAAGUGAAAUCCCGAGGCUUAACCUUGGAAUUGCUUUUAAAACUAUUAAUCUAGAGAUUGAAAGAGGAUAGAGGAAUUCCUGAUGUAGAGGUAAAAUUCGUAAAUAUUAGGAGGAACACCAGUGGCGAAGGCGUCUAUCUGGUUCAAAUCUGACGCUGAAGCGCGAAGGCGUGGGGAGCAAACAGGAUUAGAUACCCUGGUAGUCCACG